rnacentral:rRNA from 1 species
CGAUGAAUGGCUUAGUGAGGUCUUGGGAUUGGCUUCGGGAAGCCGGCAACGGCAUCCUGUCGCUGAGAACUUGAUCAAACUUGGUCAUUUAGAGGAAGUAAAAGUCGUAACAAGGUUUCCGUAGGUGAACCUGCGGAAGGAUCAUUAUCGAGUUUUGACUGGGUUGUAGCUGGCCUUCCGAGGCAUGUGCACGCCCUGCUCAUCCACUCUACACCUGUGCACUUACUGUGGGUUUUACGGGUCGUGAAAUGGGCUCGUUCAUUCGGGCUUGUUGAGCGCACUUGUUGCCUGCGUUUAUCACAAACUCCAUAAAGUAUUAGAAUGUGUAUUGCGAUGUAACGCAUCUAUAUACAACUUUCAGCAACGGAUCUCUUGGCUCUCGCAUCGAUGAAGAACGCAGCGAAAUGCGAUAAGUAAUGUGAAUUGCAGAAUUCAGUGAAUCAUCGAAUCUUUGAACGCACCUUGCGCUCCUUGGUAUUCCGAGGAGCAUGCCUGUUUGAGUGUCAUGAAAUCUUCAAUCUACAAGCUUCUUAUGGGAGUUUGUAGGCUUGGACUUGGAGGCUUGUCGGUCCUUUACAGGUCGGCUCCUCUCAAAUGCAUUAGCUUGGUUCCUUGCGGAUCGGCUUGUCGGUGUGAUAAUGUCUACGCCGCGACCGUGAAGCGUGUUUGGGCGAGCUUCUAACCGUCUCGUUACGGAGACAACUUUAUGACCUCUGACCUCAAAUCAGGUAGGACUACCCGCUGAACUUAAGCAUAUCAUAAACGGGUUAAAA